UACAGAGGUCUCAAGCGUUGGUCGGAUUCAUUGGGCGUAAAGGGUGCGUAGGUGGCGCCGUAAGUCGGGUGUGAAAUUUCGGAGCUUAACUCCGAAACUGCAUUCGAUACUGCGGUGCUUGAGGACUGGAGAGGAGACUGGAAUUCAUGGUGUAGCAGUGAAAUGCGUAGAGAUCAUGAGGAAGACCAGUGGCGAAGGCGGGUCUCUGGACAGUUCCUGACACUGAGGCACGAAGGCCAGGGGAGCAAACGGG
rnacentral:rRNA from 1 species